rnacentral:lncRNA from 1 species
AAUUAUUAAAUUUAAAAAAAAUCCAAUUGCAACAGAUGCUUCUUUAACUUACAUCAUAUCAUAAUUUUGCUCCCUAUUUCACCUCUUAUUUCAUAAUAUUUAAUCCAAUCUGACACCUGUAUCACACGUUAAAGCUCAUCUCCUUCAGCAAAGGGAAGCAUUCCUGAUUCAUAAAGCAGCAGACUUCUGGUCUAUUGAGAUUUCCUCUCCCUCUCUUUAAUUAAGAUGAACAAAAAAUCAUCUAGCAAAGAGAAGAGCAUGACUAGUCACUUACUAGACAGUCUUAAUUUGCUUAGUAUUCCUUUAAAUAUUUUAAUGAGAUGAGUGGGAGGGGGGAGCUUGGUCCCACUAAUCGGUACACUGAAAAUGUUCGUGGAUAAGCUCCUGAGGGAAGAAUUGCUGGAUUCAAGUUAUUUUAAGCAGCAUUUGUCUGUCUGUGCAGCACUGAAAGUGUGUGUGAUCUACUGCAGUUGACAAAAAAUUGGCAAUUACAUGAAGCCAAGGAAACAUCUCUGUGCUGUUUUUGUCACAGGUGCACUGAUCAUGUUCCUCUGUGACUAGCAGAGGCUGAGCUUUAUCCAAACGCAGGUCUGCUUCUUAUUUCUUUCUCUACUAGUCAGGGAAGCAGGACACCAUCUCCUGCCACCAGUAAUCCAGAUCACUGCACUGAUGGUUGUGAUGGCUACAGCUGGGUGCUGCAGGAGCUACACAGACGCCGACGUUCCGGGGGGUUUUGUUAGGGCAGUGAGUCCCAGGGUACCAAGAAUGGUGCUCCUAGUCCAGCACAUCGGUGUGCCAGAAGGGAUGGAGAACAACAACAGCAUCCUCUCCAGGCUCUCAGUGCCACAGGAUUUUGCCAAGGAGGGCUUCAGGGCGGCUCUUAGGCCAAGGAGGAUUUUCCAGACAGGCAUCUCCUGCCUGCCGUGCCUGCAAGGUCCUGCCGACCGGAGAGUGUUCUCAGAGACUGCCUGCUGAGCCAAGCAGAAGGCGCAGGUGCUCUCCCGAAUCACGCAACUAUGGUUUUAAAACCCUGGCUUCCCCAGUUCGAUCUGAAACACUUGGCCUUGAAAAAUACCCAGUCCUCAGGUCUCUAGCUGGGGUGCACAUCCACGCUGUGAUCUGCUAUGCACAAGUGACCACUGGCACAGGGGAUGCCUGACAGGAGCCAGCUCCGUGCCCCUGCCACUGUCAUUCAGGCUAUCCCCUGAAAAAAAAUUCUACCAUCUAUGUCCUCACAAGUAAGGCAGCUUAUGUACUUAUCUCAUCCUUCUCAUUAAUUGCUUUAAUUCUGCUUUGCAAGCAGACAUGUUCUAAGAUUCUCUCAGGCCUGUCUUCCCUCAAGUAGCUCAUGCACAUGAUGAGUACAGCAUGUCCCCAGAGACAGUACCACAGGGUGUGUGCCC